GCUACACACGUGCUACAAUGGGAAGUACAACGAGUUGCGAAGUCGCGAGGCUAAGCUAAUCUCUUAAAGCUUCUCUCAGUUCGGAUUGCAGGCUGCAACUCGCCUGCAUGAAGCCGGAAUCGCUAGUAAUCGCGGAUCAGCACGCCGCGGUGAAUACGUUCCCGGGCCUUGUACACACCGCCCGUCACACCACGAGAGUUUGUAACACCCGAAGUCGGUGAGGUAACCUUUUGGAACCCGCCCCCUAAGGGGGGAAAAAAGAAUGGGGUGAAAUCCUAACAAGG
rnacentral:rRNA from 1 species